GUGACUGUAGUUUAAUGGCAGAACACUGGAUUGUGGUUCCGGAAGCGUGGGUUCGACUCCAAUCAGUCACCCCA
rnacentral:tRNA from 1 species